UUAAGGAAAUAAAAUAAAGUAUUGAUUUGUGAUAAAUGAAUAUUUUAUAUUCAUUGAAUCUAGACAAAAUCAAUUACGUAAUAUUCUAUAUAUGGUCAGAUUUAAAUAUUCAUUACCUGAUUUGAUUUCCUGAAUUAAUUGUCAAAAUAUUCUGACAAUUAAUGUGGCACAGAUACUGAUGGAGUAUCUCACCUAUAAAUAUAGGGUCUCGGUCCCCAAGCUCCUCACUCAUUCUGUUCAUAACAGCAAAUUCCAUCUAAAGAGAGUUGAGAGAGCAAGGAAGCCCGAUUAUCCACACCAACCAGUUUCCUUUGCAGAUCAAAGCUUAUGUGGGUUUGAAGCUCAAGAAUCAAUGGCUGGAGGUAUUUCGAUCAUUAAUUUAUAUAGUGUAUAUAUUUGUUUAUUCCGCAUGUUAUAUACAAUACACAUACAUAUGUUUCAGUUUAUACAUAUAAAUGUCUAACAGUUAUAUCUUCUUAUUAGGUUUUAUGAUUUGAAGAUUGUUCGUUGAGAAAAACGUGAAGAAAAAAUGUAAUACCUGGAAUUAAGAAAUGGAUUAGCAAAACCCUAACUAGAUAAUUAUGUAUAAUUGAGGAAAUUAUAUUAUUAUAUAAUUUAAUAUAUGUGAAAUUAUAUGAAUUUUAUUAUGUUAAGACCCUGUUGGUGAGCCAGGGGCAUUUUAGUAAUUAUGACCCGAGAAGGGUAAAAUUAUGAAAUUAAUUGAUUACGUGCUUAAUGGAACUAUAUUAUUAUAUAGUAUACAUGUGCUGUCUUUUCAGGUGUGUUCUGACAGGUUAGCGCGGUAUAGUCACAACCGGGAAUUUCGGGCCGAACCGGGUUCGGGCCCGAAAUGUAAAUUGGAUUGAUAAUUUGGCAUUUUAUUUGAUGAAUGAUAAUCUGAAAUUUAUUUGAAAUUAAUUGAGUAUUGAAAUGACUUAUUUACCCUUGUGAGGGUGUAGGUGUGAAUAAUAAGCCAUGAGGGCAUUUUGGUCAUUUCACCCCUAAUUAUUAUGUUUGAUUAAAAUUGAUUUUUGAUGAAAUGAAAAGCAAUUUUCUGGUUUUGCUUUCACUCUUGGCCGACCCCCUCUCUCUCCCAAACCCUCUUAUUAUUUCAAAGUUGAAUUUGAAGAAAAGCUUGGUUCUUAGCUUGUUUUGGAGCUUUGAAGUUGUGAAUUCUUGAGCUUGGAGUUGAGGAUUACCGGCACCUGGUCAGGAGCACCCGGGGAUUUGGAAUCUCUACUAUUGCGGGACAACAGGAAAGGGUAAGGCAUUAGCUGAUCAGCCAUGAGUUUCAGGAGCAGGGCAAAGAAUGUACAUGUUCAUGCCACUUCAGACCAAGCGGGUUAUGGGUCUAACUGUAACGUCCCCGCUUCAAGCUUCCAUUGGGUCCUUCCACCCACGGAAUAAUGGCUCUUAUACACGAGUACGCC